AUGAACGCUAGCUACAGGCUUAACACAUGCAAGUCGAGGGGCAGCAUGGUCUUAGCUUGCUAAGGCCGAUGGCGACCGGCGCACGGGUGAGUAACACGUAUCCAACCUGCCGUCUACUCUUGGACAGCCUUCUGAAAGGAAGAUUAAUACAAGAUGGCAUCAUGAGUCCGCAUGUUCACAUGAUUAAAGGUAUUCCGGUAGACGAUGGGGAUGCGUUCCAUUAGAUAGUAGGCGGGGUAACGGCCCACCUAGUCUUCGAUGGAUAGGGGUUCUGAGAGGAAGGUCCCCCACAUUGGAACUGAGACACGGUCCAAACUCCUACGGGAGGCAGCAGUGAGGAAUAUUGGUCAAUAGGCGAGAGCCUGAACCAGCCAAGUAGCGUGAAGGAUGACUGCCCUAUGGGUUGUAAACUUCUUUUAUAAAGGAAUAAAGUCGGGUAUGCAUACCCGUUUGCAUGUACUUUAUGAAUAAGGAUCGGCUAACUCCGUGCCAGCAGCCGCGGUAAUACGGAGGAUCCGAGCGUUAUCCGGAUUUAUUGGGUUUAAAGGGAGCGUAGAUGGAUGUUUAAGUCAGUUGUGAAAGUUUGCGGCUCAACCGUAAAAUUGCAGUUGAUACUGGAUAUCUUGAGUGCAGUUGAGGCAGGCGGAAUUCGUGGUGUAGCGGUGAAAUGCUUAGAUAUCACGAAGAACUCCGAUUGCGAAGGCAGCCUGCUGGACUGUAACUGACGCUGAUGCUCGAAAGUGUGGGUAUCAAACAGGAUUAGAUACCCUGGUAGUCCACACGGUAAACGAUGAAUACUCGCUGUUUGCGAUAUACAGCAAGCGGCCAAGCGAAAGCGUUAAGUAUUCCACCUGGGGAGUACGCCGGCAACGGUGAAACUCAAAGGAAUUGACGGGGGCCCGCACAAGCGGAGGAACAUGUGGUUUAAUUCGAUGAUACGCGAGGAACCUUACCCGGGCUUAAAUUGCAGAUGAAUUACGGUGAAAGCCGUAAGCCGCAAGGCAUCUGUGAAGGUGCUGCAUGGUUGUCGUCAGCUCGUGCCGUGAGGUGUCGGCUUAAGUGCCAUAACGAGCGCAACCCUUGUUGUCAGUUACUAACAGGUCAUGCUGAGGACUCUGACAAGACUGCCAUCGUAAGAUGUGAGGAAGGUGGGGAUGACGUCAAAUCAGCACGGCCCUUACGUCCGGGGCUACACACGUGUUACAAUGGGGGGUACAGAGGGCCGCUACCACGCGAGUGGAUGCCAAUCCCAAAAACCUCUCUCAGUUCGGACUGGAGUCUGCAACCCGACUCCACGAAGCUGGAUUCGCUAGUAAUCGCGCAUCAGCCACGGCGCGGUGAAUACGUUCCCGGGCCUUGUACACACCGCCCGUCAAGCCAUGGGAGCCGGGGGUACCUGAAGUGCGUAACCGCGAGGAGCGCCCUAGGGUAAAACUGGUGACUGGGGCU
rnacentral:rRNA from 1 species